GUAAGAACGCUGUUUUGUGUAAUGGUUAUGCAAUGACAUCACAACAUCCUUCAGCAUUUUUUAGCAACAAAUCGAUCUGCCUUUAGGAACUUACCCUGAAAAUUAGUUGGCAACACCGCUUUGAAGGCAGUGCUACGGAAUCCCAGCAGUUGGGAGGGUUUAGUCGAGCGUUUUCUCCUCCCCUCCGUGUGUCUCCGCUCUUUCAGUCAUUCAUUGCGUCUCCGCAGGACUCGCAGUUUGGACGAUGUCUGUGUGCAGAGCAGCCUGGCAGAGGUGUGGGCCUCUCGCGCGACAGUCCCUGUACCGCGCACACCUCAAUAGAGAUGUAGUUCCACGGAGGCUCAUGUCGUUGGUUCCUGGCGGCUCUGGUGAGAAUUUCUUUUACGUCGUCCUCUGCGGUGGAGCCUUCGCAGGUGCCUUGGCAUAUGCUUAUAAAACAGUUUCAACAGACCACGCACGUUUUGUUGAUCGUGUUUCUGAAAUUGAUGCUCGUCCCAAGUCUGACUGGAAACCCAAAGCAUGGCCACCCAAGGGUGGGGAGAAUGGCAAUGAAUAAACUUAUUCGGACAGUUGGGGCUGGUGACCUAUAGUCUUCAUUCAGAACUUUUUGGAUGAUUCUCUCCUGAGCUAAUGUCCUUAUGAUUCCUGCUUUUUCCAUUGAACUGAUAUUUUUCAUUCCAUUGACUUUCAAACACUCAUUUCAAAUGUUAAUUGUGGUGUAAUACAGUAGAAAUUGAAAGACAUGUAAAAGAAUACUUCCCUCUGUGAGUAAACUAAUUAAACACGCACAACAAAGCCCCUUUGGUUGUUAUUUAGUUUUGCUGGAAUUCACAGGGUUGCUGGUACUGCUAACUUUGAACAGAUGAAGAAGCUGGUGCAGAGGAAGGUGAGGUGGCAGAAACUGUAGAGAGCGCAGCCGAGGAGGAUGUUCCUGCUGAGGCACCUGAGGUCUUGCUGGAAACAGCCGAGGCCACUAGAGGGAAGACAGGAACUCUUGAGACCGUUGUGGAAAAGGUUGCCGAGACAGUUGCAGAGACUGCAGAGGUGGUCGCUGAGGUGGCGGGGGUUGUUCAUGAAACAGCAGAGGAAGUGGCAGCGGUGGCACAGGAAGUGCAGAAGGUAGCAGAGGAAGUAGAAGCAGCAGCAAAGGCUGUUGAAACUCCUGUUAUCCAAGCUGAAGAGCCAGCGUCAGAGAGCAACGAAUCAGUCAGCCCAGCAGAAGCAGAACCAGCAAAGCUGGCUGCUGCCUCUGUGAUCGAGGCUGUUCCUAAGGAGUCUGUAUCCAUGGAAGAUGUGCCAGUUGAAGCUGUACCAGAGAAGCCCACUGAGGUUCCUACAACAGAUCAUUUGGAAAGUGAACCUGUAAGAGAAUUGGUAUCCGUUUCUCCAGUUGUAGAAGAGCCACCUGUUGCCACAGUGGUAGAAGAGGCUCCAGUAGUAGAGCCAUUUGAUUCACCAGUAUCCACAGAAGAAGCAUCUGAUGUCCUGGUGAUAGAACAGGAAAUAUUGGUUGUCCCAGUGACAGAAGAGACACCAGUUUCCUCUGUAACAGAAGAGGGAGCAGUUUCCUUGGUUACCGAAGAAGCUCCUGUUGCUGUGGCUGAAGAUGCACCUGUUGUAGCAACCGAAGAACUUGAGGAAACACCUGCAACCAAAGUAACAGAAGAGGUUAUUCCAGUGGUUGAGGAAGGUGUGGAAGUGAAGGCAGCAGAGGCUAUUGUUACAGAGGCUUCGGUAAGUAUAGUCGAUGAAGAAGCAGCAAGUCCAUUUGUGGAAGUUACAGAAAGUGUUGUUGAACCAGAUGUUGCAAGCACAGUGGUAGCUGAGAAAGUUGCUCUAGCUGAAACAUCAAGUGAGCCUGAUUCUUUGGAAGAGCCCAAACGAGACUACAUAGUGGUUAUCUUGGAGGGAGCUCCCAAAACAGAAAAGAAGCCCAUGGUGCUCGGUGUGUCCCCCAUGAUUGGCAAGAUCAUCUCAGCCCCUGAUGAUGGUGAAGAGCCAUCGGGACAGGGCAAGCGCCGUAUGCUUAACGUGCAGAUGCAUUAGCGCCAACUAAAAAAGUUGGGAGCAGUCAGACGUUCUGGGAUAGUAAACUGGUUCCCUGAUAAAGAAUUAGUGAUGUGCCUCGCCCUUUUCUUACUUACCUGACCCCCUGGAUUUCAGUAAUCCUUACACUGGGCCCAGAAGGCUGUUUCCUUCCGACUCUUUCCACUUACAUGCUGUCCACUGGAGAGUGGUUACUUCAUGUGAACUUUCACUUCACUUUGAUGUGAGACAUACAAGUUUGUGACCUAUCUUUAUACCCUUUUUAAAUGGAACUCCAUUCUUUUUGAGUCAACUGCACAUUGGAGCCUAUACUAUAGUGAACCCUACCUCAAACAUCACAUUUUUAGGACAUGUCUUGGAAACGCCAUGUCAAUAGUUACAAUACCAGCAGGGCUAAACAUUUGCCACAAACACUGUCAUAUCUGCAUGCUGACCACCAAUUUUUUGGUUAGACUUCAGGUUCUCCUCUAUCUUCAAUAUAUGCUAUUUUUCAUUUGCAUUAUUUAUGAAUUAACACCAUUUUUAUAUUUGUACCUCUCUACCUCAGCUUGAAAAGACAGUGUUCUCCUUUAACCAGUAACCAGUAUUAUAGUAACCAACUAACAUUACCAAUGUGACAUGAAUAGGUCAAAAAAACAACUGACAAACAGAUAACCUGUAUCAAUAUUAUCAAUACAACAAUAAGCCAUGUUACAAGUCACAUUCCAGUAUUAAUUUUAAAGGCUGACAUUACAAUAUUAUCCAAAAGGUAAACCCCACUGCUGCAUCCUUUGCCUUUGUUUUCUUGUUCUCUCUUAGUUUGUCACCAUCACCAAACCUAUUAUGAAAAUGUUACACUUACUUUGAUACUAGUUUUGAUGCUCAUUUGAUUUGAGAUUUUGGAAUGGUAGACAGAUAUACUAUAUCGAGCCAGAAGGAAAAUUAAUGUCAGAUUAAAAAAAAAAAAACAUACCUAACAAUUUUGUUUCUUAUCUCCUUCAUGUUUCAAAAGGGACCUUAUAAGUGUUAUAGGUAAGAUACAACUUUAUAAUGUGAAUGUGAGGGAAUAAUGUGAAGUAUGGUUUAGUAUAAAGGGUGUGUUCAUGGGUUCUUUUUGAUUUUGUUUUCAGGGUUAGGAAUUUAAUACACAUGCAUGUGCUCUUUUGAAGUUUCACCUUUCACCGUAGGCCCUAACUAGCGUUUUAUUUUAUUUUUUUAACUAUGAAUGUAUGUAAAAGAAAAAUAAAGAGUUGAAA
ensembl:lncRNA